rnacentral:tRNA from 1 species
GUUUUAAUAGUUUAAUAAAAACAGUGAUUUUGUAAAUCAAAAUUAGUAAAUACUUUAAAACU